AAAAAAAAUUAGCCGGGCAUGGUGACGGGCGCCUGUAGUCCCGGCUCCUUGGGAGGCUGAGGCACAAGAAUGGCUGAACCCGGGAGGCGGAACUUGGCAGUGAGCCCAGAUCACACCACUGUACUCCAGCCAGGCCUGGGCAACAGAGCAAGACUCUGUCUCAAAAAAAAAAAAUAGAUCACAGGCGUGAGCCAUCCGGCCCAGCCCAGGUCUUAUAUUUUCAUAGAGAAAAUAAGAUAGGAUUUUGACAUGUCCCUGUUACUCUUUGACCACUUUCUUGCAUUUUGGAAGAAGACGUUUCAGGCUCAUCUUGUACUUUUCAUGCCCUAGCUGUGGGCAGGGCAGCUUUUCCUGUUGUAGCCAUUUCUCCAAAGAGCCCCAGUUCCUUUUAGUUGAGAAUGGUAUUUAGGGCCAGAAGUGGUAGCUCACACCUGUAAUCCCAGCACUUUGGGAGGCCAAGGCAGGAGAAUGGCUUGAGCCCAGGAGUUCAACACCCUUGACAACUUAGAGAGAAUGCCUCUCUAC
rnacentral:lncRNA from 10 species